CUCGUGAAUUGUCAGCCUCCCUCCGGGCAUCACUGUGGAGAGUGACAUCAUGGAAAUUCAUUCCCAGGCGCAGCUGCUAUUCUGGUCAGAUGGAAGAACAUCCUGAGAGUGAUGAGCUGAGCAGAGCAGAAAUCUGAACAUGUCUGAGAAUGUUUGUCGGGAAAGACUUUGGUUCUGGUUGUGGAAGCAGUUCAAACUGUAAUUAAUACACUUUCAGUUUAAAGUUUACUAGUUAUGUAUUUUGCAGAUGUGCUUUUGACUGUUAUAUCUGUUUAACUCUUAAUUUUAAAGAGGCAGUGUUGUUUAUAUAGUUGUGUUUAACAAGAUUUGAUUGAACACCACUCGAUAAUCUAAAACGUCCUAAAGACGUCUAAAUUGAGCUGAACAAUUUUUUAUGUUUAUUCUUUAUAAUGCACUCUAAUAAACAAUUGUGUUCAAUAAGA